rnacentral:rRNA from 1 species
CAGUCCCGCGGUAAAACAGAGGGUGCGAGCGUUAAUCGGAUUUACUGGGCGUAAAGCGUGCGUAGGCGGCUUCUUAAGUCGGAUGUGAAAUCCCUGAGCUUAACUUAGGAAUUGCAUUCGAUACUGGGAAGCUAGAGUAUGGGAGAGGAUGGUAGAAUUCCAGGUGUAGCGGUGAAAUGCGUAGAGAUCUGGAGGAAUACCGAUGGCGAAGGCAGCCAUCUGGCCUAAUACUGACGCUGAGGUACGAAAGCAUGGGGAGCAAACAGGAUUAGAUACCCCCGUAGUCCCUGUCUCUUAUACA